GGAUUAGAUACCCUGGUAGUCCACGCUGUAAACGAUGAUAACUAGUCGUUAGGGGCAUUUGCUCUUAGUGACGAAGCUAACGCGUUAAGUUAUCCGCCUGGGGAGUACGGUCGCAAGAUUAAAACUCAAAGGAAUUGACGGGGACCCGCACAAGCGGUGGAACAUGUGGUUUAAUUCGAUGCAACGCGAAAAACCUUACCUGGUCUUGACAUCCUGUGAAUUUUCUAGAGAUAGAAAAGUGCCUUCGGGAACACAGUGACAGGUGCUGCAUGGCUGUCGUCAGCUCGUGCCG
rnacentral:rRNA from 1 species